rnacentral:rRNA from 1 species
AGAGUUUGAUCAUGGCUCAGGACGAACGCUGGCGGCGUGCUUAACACAUGCAAGUCAAGGGGGCCCAGCAAUGGGCAACCGGCGAACGGGUGCGUAACACGUGAGCAACCUACCGAACUGUGGGGGAUAGCCGGCCUAACGGCCGAGUAAUACCGCAUACGCUUUCGAUGAGGCAUUUCAUUGAAAGGAAACCUACGGGACAGAUCGAGGGGCUCGCGGCCUAUCAGCUAGUUGGCGAGGUCACGGCUCACCAAGGCGACGACGGGUAGCUGGUCUGAGAGGAUGGCCAGCCACAUUGGGACUGAGAAACGGCCCAGACUCCUACGGGAGGCAGCAGUGGGGAAUCUUGCGCAAUGGGCGAAAGCCUGACGCAGCGACGCCGCGUGGGGGAUGAAGGUUUUCGGAUCGUAAACCCCUGUUGCCCGGGACGAACUUCUCCUUUCGAGGAGAUUGACGGUACCGGGUGAGGAAGCACCGGCUAACUCCGUGCCAGCAGCCGCGGUAAUAC